rnacentral:rRNA from 1 species
UACGGGGGGGGCAAGCGUUGUUCGGAAUUACUGGGCGUAAAGGGCUCGUAGGCGGCCAACUAAGUCGGAUGUGAAAUCCCCAGGCUCAACUUGGGAACUGCAUCCGAUACUGGAUGGCUUGAAUUCGGGAGAGGGAUGCAGAAUUCCAGGUGUAGCGGUGAAAUGCGUAGAUAUCUGGAGGAAUACCGGUGGCGAAGGCGGCAUCCGGGACCGACAUUGACGCUGAGGAGCGAAAGCUAGGGGAGCAAACGGG